rnacentral:tRNA from 1 species
GGGGAUGUGGCUCAAGCGGUAGUGCGCUCUCCUGGCAUGUGCGUGGCCUGAGUUCGAUCCUCAGCACCACA